CCAAACUCUAAAACACACACACGUACCAUUUUCUUCGGUUUUUCAUGGCUAGCCUCAAGGUUGCAUUUUUGGCUUCAUUGUUGUGCAUGGUUGUGGUGAGUGCACCCAUGGCACAUGCUGCUAUCACGUGCGGGCAUGUGACGAGCUCCCUGGCCCCAUGCAUCGGUUACAUCCAGAAGGGAGGAUCACCGCCGGCGCCAUGCUACAGCUGAGUGAAGAGCCUCAACGCCGCCGCCAAGACCACCACCGACCGCCAACAACGCCGUCUCGCUUCCCGGCAAGGCAAAUGUGGCGUCAGCAUCCCCUACAUGAUCAUCAUCAAGGUUUGAAAAGAAAGUCACGGAUGCAGGAAACUGGAAACUACUUACUAGCAUAUCAGUAGCAUUAUUAUUAAUAUUAAGAAUAAAAUCGAGGGCUACACUUAUAUGCCCCUCUCCUCUUGUACGAGAGAUUUGUAUUGGAUAGCUAGCUUUUAAUUAUAUGUUGCGCUCUUGUUUCCUUGAAUGAGUUACACAUAGUUAUAUCUACUUUUUCAUGGGUUUCUCCCUA